rnacentral:rRNA from 1 species
CGGGUGAGUAACGCGUGAGGAACCUGCCUCAAAGAGGGGGGAAACAGUUGGAAACGACUGCUAAUACCGCAUAAGCCCACGGCUCGGCAUCGAGCAGAGGGAAAAGGAGCAAUCCGCUUUGAGAUGGCCUCGCGUCCGAUUAGCUGGUUGGUGAGGUAACGGCCCACCAAGGCGACGAUCGGUAGCCGGACUGAGAGGUUGAACGGCCACAUUGGGACUGAGACACGGCCCAG